GGGUCAUUAGCUCAGUUGGUAGAGCAUCGGACUUUUAAUCCGCUGGUCGCAGGUUCGAAUCCUGCAUGACCCA
rnacentral:tRNA from 1 species